UUGGAUUUGGGUGAUUUGAGAGAGAUUUUUGAGAUUUUAGAUGACAAAUGAGGAAAUGAGGUGUUCUACCUUGUUUAAAAACAACAUGUAGCAUGAGUUAACUAACGUUGCGUUAGUUAACUCAUGCAGCGUUAGUUAAGUAACAUAGAGUUUAACAUUUGCAUUACUUAACUAACGCAUGGGCAUUUUCGACAAAACUGCAGGGCGCGAGUGUUUUGUGCUAGGAGAAAAGCAUAAUUCAGUAUAGUUUGAGGCUCGUAUUUUAUGGCCCAAAGUCUUAUAGGGGAGCAAUAUAGUGAUACCUACACCCCCCUCUAAUUAUGUUGGUUUAUUUUUUUCACUCUAACGAAUAUUUUUUUUGGUCAAGUAGCAUAGUGAUUAGAGCUCACACAUUUGUCCCCGUGAGUUUAACUUCAUUGGUAAGAACAUCAAACAAAGUGGAAGUAUAGCUAGCACCCCAUCUUUAAUGCAUUUUCCUAUAGUCAUAUUAGAACAUUUUACAAAGACAAUUUUGGGACGGACCUCUGUUUCGCAAGGUUCAAUAAUCAAAUAGUAUUAAUUAAGGAUUUAUUUUUUUUAUUAGCACCACUGUUUGCUUAUACGCACUAUUUUUUUUUCCAAUAUCACUGCCUUUUGCAUAAAUAAGCCUUCUUAACCCCAUCAAUAGAAAUUACAGACUAGUGCUAAAUUAGGCAUGAAUUUCAUUAGCACAAGUGAAAAUUAUACUACAAUGUUUUAACCAAUUAUCUGGUUGAGUAAAACAUAUGAUUAGAUCUCAAAAAAUGGAGAGGGUGUCUACUCAAUAAUAUGUGGAAAGGAAAAUUGCUAUAGGCGGCUAGAGCUUCAAUUUCAUGAACAUAUGUGGACCUAAAACCCUUGAAAUAAGACAAUACGGUCUGAGUGAGCACGUUAGUUCUAGCGUACACCACCGCAUUGAAGCCCGCUCCGCGCUUCUUGCACCGUACAUGUGGCCUCCAACGACUCUCUGAUAAGGCGUCACAUUUCACGGAAACCCUUAACGCCUCCUUCUCCUAUAUAAAGGUGGCUCUGCGGCACCCUCAAGAUACGAUUCAUUUCUCAUACACUUUUACAUGUUCAACCUCAUUACACUAACUUGAGCGUUGAAGUGUUAAUGUGUCUGCAGACACCUUUCGUUACCGUGAAGACCCACCGUCACUGUGUCGAAACACCGCACGUCACCGUUGCCUUCAUCCUCUCCUCACCGGACAUAUCAUAAAUGUUAAUGAGUGUCCGGGAGCACUCUUUAAAAACCUUUAAUACUAGUAAAUUUUCAUGGACAACUGUGUAUUCAAUACAUUAAAAUUUAUAAUUUUAAUUUUUUAAAAGAAUAAUUUUUAUGUUUGAGAUCCUUAGUGUCUAAGACACUCAUUAACAACACCCGUGUGAAAAUCAUAUAAAGUAACACCACACUUUUGCGUUAUUUAAGUAUAAAGUAGCAUAAAAACAUGCAAAAGAACAACAAUAUAAUCCCAACCAUAUCUGCACCAAAAAAUAACAAAUAUCAUUUCAAACCCGGUUUUGUAUUGAUUCAAUGACAAAUCUAUAUUGAAGUUUUACUCAUUGAGAUGGUCUUGUAUACACAUAACUUCAAAAGAAGUAUCAAAUUGACAUUUACAUAUGAAAUUGAAGAAUAACAAAUGAAUUGAAGGUAAGAUUACAUUAUUUUCACUCCACACGCAAUGCACAAAGCUUUAAAAAAGAAAACAAGAAGCCACUUGGUUACAAUUUAUAAUACAUGGUCAAACUUUUUUUUUUUUGACAAUGAUACACGGUCAAACUUUUGAUCUCACACAUAUUACAUUUUAAAAUAUCACUGAACUUGCAUGCAUGUAUCUUACAAAUAUUGUUUCUUCUACAAGAAACAUAUUUGAAAAGUCUUGAAGCUAAUGAAUGGAUCAUGAAACCAGAUGCCUGGCUUUCUUGCCUCUACUUGUAUGUGGGGAUCUCAUUUCUCUAAGUCUCCUCUCUUGUGAAAGUAUUUUUGCUAACCUGAAUGUAUUAGAAUAAAUAUGUCAUUAAUUAAUAUAAAAAUAAUUGUAACAUAAUUAUAACUUGAGUGGUAAUUAAAAUGUACCGUCUCUACUAAUUUAUCUUAAUUACCUCUUGAGAGCUUCUUCAUUGGUUUCUCCAUUUGUCAGUGGCUCAAAGUGACCAUUUUCUAAAUUGACUCUAGAGACCGGUUUCUUUAAUAAAUUUUCACCAAUUUGGCACAGUUUCUUCAAGUUCUCCUCUGUAGCAAUGUCAACUGAAGAAUCGAUUCCUGUCAAUGUAUCAUCCUGCAUUUUGUUGAAUUUGUUAAACAAAUUAAUCACUUAUCCUUGAUACUCAAAAAAAAAAAGUUAUGUAGUUUUUCAUGCCGAGUUUCCGAAAGAAAAAAAAUGUUAAAAUUGUAACCAACGUCAUAUUUAAACUUUAAGGACUAAAUAUAUUUAUAUGAUCAUUGGAUAUAGCGCAAGUGGUUGGUGUACAAGAUGCAUAAAUAUGGUAAAUUUCGAGGUGUACCGAAUUGGACUCCUACUACUAUAAAAAAAAUGUAAAGGAAUUUUACCUGAAUUCGAAGGUAAUUAUCAGCUGAAUGAAGAGCUUGAGUGACAGCAGAUAAAUGAAAAUCGACCAUAUCACCACUUGAUUGAGUAAAAACAUCGAUUAAGGGAUUAGAACCACUCUGUGUUAACCAAUCUAAUAAUCCCCAUUUGGCUGCCAUUUGUGCAGUGAACUUUUCCUCAUUUUUUGCUGUCCCAGUGCCUAUUGAAAUUAUCAGAAAACGACCAUAUUCCAGAGGCUUGAUUGGAAAGAAAUCAGGACUUUGAUUUAUAAUCUGCUUUGUUACUUCAUUCAUGGCAACUAAAGCCUUGAUCAUAAAAAAUAACAAAUUAGUUUUACCUUCAAUUAGUAAUUAAAUAAUAUAAUAUUUUCGUUAUAAUUCAGUUUGCAGAGACAAUGCAUUGUUAUAUGUACAGGUUGUUUGACCAAAGAAAUAUAUUAUAAUUUAUAGCUACUAUGGUGCUUGAUGUGUAAAAAAAUUACACUUUAAAUCCAAAAUAAAAAGUGCAUACAUCUAUAAUGUAAUUGGGAUCUAGUAAGACAAAUUGUAUAUUUUAUUCAAAAAUAAAAGACAAAUUGGAUUUAAUCAUGGAUCAUAUAUAUACGCCAUUGCAUAAUACUACCUCCGUCUCUAAUUAUAAGACCCUUUUGAAAAAAAAAAUUGUCCCUUUUUAUAAGACCCCUUUGCUAUUUCUAACUACAUUAAUUAUUUCUUUACAUACAUGCCCCUAUUUAUUAUACAUCUUUUUCUUCAAUCAACAAUAAAUAACAUGUUGAAAACAUAAACCAACUCUCUCUUAAAGGAUAAAAUUGUAAAAACAAUAGUAAUUACAAACAUAUUUAAUACAAAUAUCCACUAUCUUAAUUCCCGUUAUUUUUUCAAAAGGGUCCUAUAAUUAGGGACGGAGGUAGUACAAAUUUUUAAAACAACUUGUUCACAUUAUGAGAAUGUAUUAUAUGAAAUGUAAUUGUAUAUUUAUAUAUUCGUUGGCAUAUAAUUAAUUAAUUAAAAGUUAAACACUCAAAAUAAAAUUUCCAAUCAACAACUAAUUUAUUAAUUGAUUUUUUUUUUGCACGUACCGGAUUAUUUGCACAAACACCACCAUCAAUGAGAUUGAACUCCUCUUCUUUUCCAGCUUCAUCAUCUUUAUUUGUGAAGUUGUGAGCAGGGAGAUAAGUAGGAGCAGCUGAAGUGCUAAUGCAUAUGUCUGAAAGUUUAGCGUCCAAACAAGGGGAUCUCUUAAGCUGCAUAAAUUUCAAACAAUUUUAGUCUAGGUUUAACCUUUGAAAUAAAACUGUUGCUGGAAAUAAGUAAACAAGACAAGGUAUAUAAUUUAUUUGGUCUUAAAACUUUGGUUUUUCGAGAGGUAAGUUUAGCGUAAUCAAUAAUUGUUUCAGCUAGGAUUAAAAUUCAGGUUCUCUCAAACGAUUCUUAGUUUAAGCUUGUUAACCACUUAAGCGACUUGAGUUCAAUAACUUGGUGAAAUGUAUUUUAAAUCCACAAUUAGCAACAUUCUAUUAUAAAUAUAAAAUUAAUAUAAUCAUGAUAAGAAAUAAAUUAACCUGAUAAGAUGAGAAAAUAAUUGGCUGCAAAGUCUUGAUGUCGAAUGUGGGAACAACAAUGUUUGUGAGGGUUUCAUGCAAGCGAAUGUCUCCAAGUUUCUCUCUUACAACUUGAUGAAGGUAUUUUCCAUCAUAUUUGGGUCCUCCAAGAGAUCUCAUUACCUUUGCUAAUAGUGUCGCACCAAGUCCUCUGCAAAAAAUUGAACCAAUAAAAACUUGAAUUCCUCAAGUAUAUACACCUCAAAUAAUUACAAAUAGAAGUAAAUAAAUAAAUAUCAUUUAUGAUUAUUAUAUAUAUAUUAAUUACCUAUGUUGUGGGAAAAUUUUAGGGCAAUGUUCAAGGUAAAAGGGCUUGAUAUCUUUGGCAGCAAAAAGUGGACGAUUGUUUUUAUCAGGAGCAGCUAGCAUGGCAGUCACAAGACCUCCUGUACUUGUUCCUGAGAUCACAUCAAAGUAAUCUGCAAGCCUUGCAUCUUCACCAUCCAACUCCUACACACAGAUCAACUUAAUUAAUUAUAUAGUUUCAAAUAAUAUAUAGUAAUAUUGAAGUACAUUAUUAUCAUUUUAUUUUCUUUGUGCGAAUAAUAUACACUACCGUGAAAAAAAAAUUAGCGAUGGAAAAAACGAAAUUUCUCUCUAAUUCUUUUGCCGCAAAAUUCUGUGACAGAAUUAGAUAGGAAUUUUACGUUUUCCAUCUCUAAAUUUAUUUUGCUAAUUUAUGUGUAUUUUUCGUGGCUAAGUUUAUUAGUAGUUUGCUCUCUAUUAAUGUGUUAGUGUUUGAAAAAAGUAUAAAACAUUCUUCUAAACUCAUUUUAUCUAUAUGUUUUUAGGAUUUCAGACUCAUACUGCCGUUGUAUAAACUGUUAAAUACUUAAAUCUACACCACCAAAAAAAAAACUGUUAAAUCUAGAGAGACAAAAGACAAACUUUUUUUGUAGAGGACAAAAGACAAAAAAAAAAAUAAUAAUAAAUUACCCUAAAAAGGACACUUUUUUCUCUCUAGAUCUAAACCUUUCAUAAAGUAGCUACACUAACCUCACCAAGAUAGUUUGCAUAAUAAAUAGAGUUUACUCUCAUCCCUACUGCCAUUAUUAUGGAACCAACUUACACAUAAAAAUUUUCAUAUAAUAAAUUAGCACUUUAGUUAAACAAUUCACUCAAACAUUCUCUAAUUGGCAGAUGUUAUAAAUAUUUUCUUAACUGGAAAUUCGUUUAUGAAAAAAGAAAACAAAAAAUUAUAUUUAUACAUGAAGUUAAAAUUCUAACUGUAAGUAGGUUGGCCAUAGCCAAUAUAAGGAAGGUACUAAUUUCAUUUCAUAUAUAUACCUGAAGGUGAGAUUCAAGGAAUUCAAUAAUUGCAGCAGGGAUGAGACCCCUAAUACCUCCCCCAUCAAUACUAAGAAUGGUUACCAAGUUCCCAUAAGUAGGGGGCUGAAUUUGUUCAACAGAUAAAUUUGUGACUCCCUCCAUCGAAGUAAUAUGUAAUUUAUCUAAGUUUUUUUUGAGUAAAGAUUAAUGGUAAUGAAAGCAAAGGCUGUUUAGACUAUGGUUUAUAUAUUUCAGGGCAGUAAGUGCUAUGCAAAUAAAGAAUUAAUGUUGUUGAAGAAAUAUGAGUUUGUGUUUGUGAUAUGAUGAUAGUUGAUGAUGAUAUUUAUAGUGGGGUGGAUGGCAAGUGUAAUGACUCCGUUAGAUUUGAUUUGAUCUGGUCCAUGUUGAACUUGAGCCGUCAAAGGGGGCUGCGGAAUGGUUUAAAUUGUAGAAUAAUGUAACCCUGCGGUUCUCCAAUCAAUUCCAAAACAUUAUAAUAUAAACCGUGCAAUUAUUUAGAAUACGUAAGCAUAUUUUAUACUAUAUACUAUUAUUAUUAGGUUUUGUCUUACACACUAGUAAAAUUAAGAUUCAAUUCACCAUGAAUAAAUGUUUUUUUUUUAUGAUUGAAUCAAUAGAUCAUAUCAUUUCCUAUUUAAUUUAAUGAUGAGAUUUGUUAAACGAUAAUAGGAACUAAUUUAUACACUAUAAAAAUCUAAUCUUAUUUAUGCAACUUAGAAUUAAUCCAUUAUCAUCAUGCGGGAUAAAUUGAUCCUCACAAUCUUUGUGAUCACUUCAUUCAGUUUACUUAUUGUUUAGGUGGUUUGAAGGCUCAACGAUCAUUCAUCCAGCUUCUUUGACUUGUGUGUGUCUCGUUAAUUUGGAAUGAAAGAAAUAACAUGUUUUUUAAUAAUUCUCAUAGCUCUACUCAUGAGCUGAUGGAUAAAGUUAAGUUUCAUUCAUAUUGGUGGUUGAAGCUAAUAAUGUCACUUUUGUGUUUGAUUGUCAGAGAUGGUGGUCGGAUCCGUUGUAAUGUUUGGGUAUCGACUGACCUAUGUUUUUGUAUUUUUUGUUAAAGUUUGACAGGUCUUCUUAGUACACCUUGUGUUGAGAAGACAGUUGUGAUUUUGUUAAUAUAUAUCUUUUUGCUUCUUAAAAAAAUAUAUUUGUCUAUAGAAAAAAUACGUGCAUCGGAUCUAAAGGUAAUAAAUUGAGCCAUUUCUAAAUUAUUUACACCCGGAAUUUAUUUUUGUACAAGACCCGGAUUUGUUUUACUCAAAUAAAAUAACUCAACUUGAAUUUAAACUCAUUAAUUAAUAGCAUGGGUAGCCAUGAAGAGCGUGAGUGGCACGUGAGGUAAUGAGGCAUUUGUAGACCUAGAGGGGGACGAGGUAGGUAGUGAAGGAAAAAUCUAGAUUCAAAGGAGACUUGUCAACGAUACACUAAGAAUUUUGCAUUAUACUAUAACGUGUACGAAUGUUUUGGUUGCUUCCUACAAUUUUUUAUUUAGGAAUGAUAAGAACAGAAAAAGUAAAACUAAGUCUAAGGCAGACUGGCCUAACUUAGUCGUAUGUGAAACAUUUUGUCAAAAAAACAACUCAGAUAAAAAAUUAAUAUGUUUUUACUAAAUUUAAUGAUCAUCUAUGUUAAGUUAAGAGCAAUCAUAUAAUUGAACACUUUAACCUAACAUUUUAAAAUAAUAGAUAUCAUUUAUAUGUUUAACCUUCAUUUUUUUCUAACAAUGUGAAACUUCUGACUGAUCUCAUAUUUGCCCUAAUAGUUUAUUGAUACGUAUGGGUUAUGGAAGAAAGUUAGAUGAAAGCAAAACUAGAGAAAGAAAAGUAGAAGAAAAUAUAGAGAAUAAAUGAAAGGAAGGAAGGUCAAAAUAUUAUCUUCCUUUGUUUUAUUGAAUAAAGAGUGAGAGGAAAUAAAAAUAAUGUUUGUGAAAUAAUAUAUACCCUUAAACAAAAUUAAAUGCUAUGAAAAAAAUUAAAGAAUAAAUGCGCUCAUCAUCUACUUUUUUCUUCAUGAAUAGAAAGUUCACCGUAAAUCCAAUAUAAAAUCGACAAAACAAGGAAGGGGACAAUUUCUGUUGUUGAUAAUGAAGACAGAUUUUAAAUGCAAGACAAAGACAUCAUACUAUCAUUUUAUUGGCAUCAUUCAAUUUACUAUAUAAGAAAGCUUGGUUUUAUAUGACCUGUGACUCUAAUUUGGACCUUUAAACCUUUUCAUUUGGUUUUUUUAUCUACUUCAUGUGAAAAUUCUAACAAAAUGAUAAGCUAUUUUUUUGUAGAAGAAAAAAGGGGGCGCCUUCCUUUUAAAAAUUCAAUUUUAACUUAUUCAAACCCUUUGUUUAUCAUCUCUCCCACCUUGGUACAUCGCUCUCAUUUUGAAAAGGGGCAUCUUACAUAGCUGUAACAGUUUUGUGUCCUCGUGAGCUUAACUCAGUUGGUAUGGAUAAUGUAUAAUAUAUGUAAAGUUUUGUGUUCAAACCCCAGCCACAAAAAAAAAUAGCUGUAACAUUUAUUAUCUAUAUUUAACUAAUUAUCAUAGUUAGAAUAGUGGUUUGGCCAAGCUUGUACAUAACUACACCUAGUUAGAUAUAGCAAGAUAUAGUUAGUUAGAUUUCAGCAAUAGUAUAUAAGUUGUUCAUAAGUAACUUUGUAUUCAUUCACUCAGUUUCAAUAAUGAAGAUAGAAUUUUCCUUCACUUUCUUUCUUUCCACCAUGUGUGUGUGUGAUACUAAGAUGGUAUCAGAGCUCAAAUCUUGAGCUUUGGUUCUGUCAUCGUUCUUCAACUUCUUCCUUUUCCCUCUUUGUCGAUUGAAAUUGAUUUCUUCAAUUUUCUUUCAAUCGGUGCAAUUUUCUCCCUUUCUCUUCGUUUUUUUGCAACUGGAUUGAAAUUGAUUUCUUCAAUUUUCUUUCAAUCAGUUCAAAUUCAUCUAUUCCUAUUAGUUUUGGCUUCAGACUGUUGAUACAAGACGAAUCACACUGUUGAUACAUGUUACUUUCUUCAUGGUUUUCCUCCUGGUUAUCAGACUAGAAACACCGCUAAAUCUGGUCCUUCUGCAAAUUUGGCUUUUGGCUGCACCAAAUCUGAUACUGAGCAGAUAUCUACCCCAGACACUUCAACUAAUGGUGUGCUUUUAUCCGAGGAGCAGUACAAAGGACUCAUGGAAUUACUUCAACAGUCAAAACAUCAAGUUCCAUCUUCCGCCUCUGCCAAUACUGUCAUGACUUCUAAUCCUCUUUCAAAUUCUAUCACCUCCAAUUCUAAUUCUCAUAAUGCAUUUGGUAAGACUCUUACCUCCUGGAUCAUUGAUACAGGAGCCACCCACCAUAUCACUCAUAAUUUAGCCAUACUUACCAAAUGUCAUUCCAUCAAUCCUAUUAGAGUUGAUAUGCCAAACAAUACCUAUGCAGUUGCCACUCUAGCUGGCACAAUAUUCAUUUCCACUGAGUUACAAUUACACAAUGUAUUGUUUUUCCCUAAUUUUCAUGCAAACUUACUUUCUGUGCCACAACUUCUUUCACAUAGUAACUGCCAUGUUAUUUUUACUACUCACUCCUGUUCAUUUUUGCAGAACAAUACCAAGAGGAUGAUUGGUUCAGCUAGCCUAAGUCAUGGACUAUACAUGAUGGAAGUUCCUCUAUCUGAGUCUGUUUCUUACAGUUCUGCUUCUAUUUGUAAUGUUCCCCAACCCAACAUUUCCUGUAAUUCAAUUUCUAAAUCUUCAAAUGAUAGUUUUUUGUGGCAUAGGAGAUUAGGCCAUCUUUCUCUUGAGAGACAAAAAAGUAUGUCUACUCAUUUUCCUUUUAUUUCUUUUCAUCAUAAUAAAGUCCCUUGUGACGCUUGUCAAUUUGCUAGACAAAGGAAGUUACCUCAUUUUAGUAGUAUCAAUAAAAGCUCUCAUAUAUUUGAAAUUUUACAUGCUGACAUUUGGGGACCAUAUGCUCAUACAUCUAUCUUGGGUCAUCGAUAUUUUUUAACCCUUGUUGAUGAUUUCAGUAGGUUUACUUGGGUGAUCCUAAUGAAAUCCAAAGCUGAAACACAUAAACAUAUUACUCAUUUUAUUGCAUUUAUUGAAACACAAUUUCAUACACAAUUAAAAUGUCUUCGAAGUGAUAACGGUGUUGAGUUUCUCAUGCAUGAAUUUUAUUCGAGUAAGGGUAUUGUGCAUCAAAGAACUUGUGUUGAGACUCCUCAACAAAAUGGUACUGUUGAGCGCAAACAUCAACAUAUUUUAAAUGUGGCUAGAGCCUUGUUUUUUCAAGCAUACUUACCUAAAACCUUUUGGAAUUUUGUUGUUCAACAUUCUGUGCAUCUCAUUAACAGAACCACUACUUCUCUUCUAAAUGAUAAAACUCCAAAUGAAUUACUUUAUAAACAACCACCCACAUUUUUGCACCUUAAGGUUUUUGGUUGUUUGUGCUAUGCAUCCACUUUACAUGCUCAUCGUACUAAAUUUGGUCAUAGAGCUAGAAAAACAGUUUUUCUUGGUUAUAAAGAGGGUGUAAAGGGCUAUAUUUUGUAUGAUUUGCAUUCUCAUCAAAUGAUUAUUUCUAGGAAUGUUAUUUUCUUUGAGGAUCAUUUUCCUUUUCAUGUCUCUUCUACCAACCCUAUUGAUCCUCCUACUACUACUCAUGUAAAUGAUAUCCCACAUGUCUUUCUUGACACUAAUGUUACACCUUUAGAUUCUACAGACCCCGCACCUUUAGAACCUGACCCUGCUAUUGUUCCCUCUCCUCCCAUUGAACCAGAAAUUGCCUAUUUAGACAAUCAUGUCCCACACAUAGCUGAACCUAAUCCUGGACCUCCACUUAGGCAUUCAACGCGAAUCACGACUCGGCCCAAUUACUUGAAUGACUAUCAUUGUUCAUUGGCUAGUUGCUCCAAUCUCCCCUCAGGUGAUGUUCCUUCUACUCAUUAUCCUUUAUCUUCUGUUUUAUCUUAUCAAAACUGCUCUCCAGCAUAUAAAAACUUUUGUUUGGCAGUUACUAUACACACUGAACCCAAAACCUUUUUACAAGCUUCUAAACAUGAUUGUUGGCAGAAAGCUAUGAAGGUUGAACUUGAUGCCUUGGCCUUGAAUAAUACAUGGUCCAUUGUCGAUCUUCCUAGUGGUAAAACUCCCAUUGGCUGUAAGUGGGUCUAUAAAAUUAAAUAUCACGCUGAUGGUUCCAUUGAAAGGCACAAGGCCAAACUUGUUGCCAAGGGCUACACCCAGCUUGAAGGUGUCGAUUAUUUUGAAACUUUCAACCCUGUUGCUAAAUUGACUACGGUAAGAGUUCUCUUAGCACUUGCUGCAGCCAAAGAUUGGUUUUUGGAACAACUAGAUGUGAACAACGCCUUUUUACACGGGGAUUUAAGUGAAGAAGUCUACAUGACACUUCCUCCUGGCUUGUCUUCUUCUACCUCAGAUUUAUCCAACAAUGUUUGUCGAUUACAUAAGUCAUUAUAUGGCCUUAAGCAAGCUAGCAGACAAUGGAAUCACAAACUUACUCACACCUUAUUGUCCCUUGGAUAUAAACAGUCUUCUGCUGAUCACUCUCUCUUUAUCAAAUCCAAAGCUACUUGCUUCACUGCUCUUUUAGUAUACGUUGAUGAUAUUGUAAUGGCAGGAAAUGACAUGUCUAAAAUUACCUUUGUUAAAUCUGUCUUGGAUCAGAAAUUCCGUAUCAAAGACCUUGGUGCUCUUAGAUUUUUUCUUGGUCUAGAAAUUGCCAGAUCUAGUCGUGGCAUAGUCUUGAAUCAAAGGAAAUAUACCUUCGACAUGCUUGAUGACAAUGGUCUCCUUGCGGCUAAACCAGCCUCCACUCCUUGUGAUCCUAUUUUUAAGUUCAGCAACACUGGAAGUGAAGUAUUUCCUGAUGUAACUGCUUACAGGAGACUCAUAGGUAGAUUGAUAUACUUGUCUACUACAAGACCUGACAUUGCUUAUUCUGUGCAACAACUUAGCCAGUACUUAUCGAAGCCUCUACACUCUCAUUUUCAAGCUGCCACUCGAAUUCUUAGAUAUCUCAAGUCUGCUCCUUCCCAAGGACUUUUCUUCCCUACUGCAAAUUCUCUUCAAUUAACUGGAUUUGCCGAUUCUGAUUGGGCCUGUUGUAUUGACACCAGAAAGUCAAUCACCGGAUAUUGUGUUUUUCUUGGUCCUGCCAUAAUUUCCUGGAAAUCCAAGAAGCAAGAAAUUGUUUCAUCUUCAUCUUCUGAAGCUGAAUAUAGGGCCUUAGCUAAGCUCACAAGGGAAAUUCAAUCGAUUCACUAUCUUUUGGCAGAUUUACUUGCUCUUGUUAAUGUUCCUUCAGUUCUUUACUGUGACAAUAAAUCUGCCAUUUAUCUUGCACAUAACCCCACUUUCCAUGAGAGGACCAAGCACAUUGAAAUUGACUGUCAUGUUAUAAGAGAAAAGAUUCAACAAGGUGUCAUACGACUGCUACCAAUUCCCUCUGCUUCUCAACUAGCUGAUGUCUUCACCAAGCCAUUACAUGCUACCUCUUUCAAGUCUUUUAUUUUCAAGUUAGGACUUUGCAAUCUACACAGUCCAACUUGAGGGAGGGUAUUAUCUAUAUUUAACUAAUUACCAUAGUUAGAAUAGUGGUUUGACCAAGCUUGUACAUAACUACACCUAGUUAGAUAUAGCAAGAUAUAGUUAGUUAGAUUUCAGCAAUAGUAUAUAAGUUGUUCAUAAGUAACUUUGUAUUCAUUCACUCAGUUUCAAUAAUGAAGAUAGAAUUUUCCUUCACUUUCUUUCUUUCCACCAUGUGUGUGUGUGAUACUAAGAUGGUAUCAGAGCCUGGUUAUGUACAAGCUUGGUCAAACCACUAUUCUAACUAUGGUAAUUAGUUAAAUAUAGAUAAUAACAUUUUUUGUGAAGAAAUAUUGAAUUUUCCGGUUCUCCCUCUCUUUUUUUUAGAAGAAAGCAAGGUGUAUAAAUUGGACUCUUGAAAAAAAAUUGAAUUUGUCUUUUAUAUUAAAUUUUUCUUUUAUAUUGGUCAAAAAAAAGUUUGUCUCCUACAUUUUUAAAUUGGACUCUUGAAAAAAAUUGUUUGAAGUUGAUCUAAAACGCUAAUAACAUGGUGUUUUUCUAUAAAAGAUAAUAGGCAUCGAGGAUUAAUUAAUCCGAAAGAUAUAUCCAUUUCCUAGACUCUUGGUUAUUUUUAUUCAAAAUGCCAAGUGUUAUUGUAAUUAAGUGAGUUGAUAAAUGAAAAACUUUUUGAAGAGACAAUUGUUGAAGCAACGAAGUAUGCACGAAGGAAGGAGGGAGGGAGGGGGUGCGUAACCAAAAUUAGAACACAAGUGGUCCAAUUUUUGCAAGCUUGCUCCGUUUUUCGUCAGCACACAACUUUACAUUGGUUAUAAGUAAUGUCUUAUCAAAGAGAGGGGUUAGAAUUUUUUUUGCAAUUAAUUAGUGAAGAGUGAUUGUUUGAUGAUAAUUAAGGAUGAACCCCUCUCUUUGAUAAGACAAGGUUCAGAUUACAUUGGUUAUCUCGAAUACAAUUUGGAUGAGUUCAGAUUAUAUAAUCUGAAAUAUGCUUAUAUAUAAGCAACAAUCAACAUCUCUACCAUUUCAGCAGUUUUGAACUUUGCUUUUAAAAACAACAAAGAAAAAAAUGAUAAAACAUGUCAACUAAAAUUAAAAAAUUAUAAAAAUAGCACCAAAAAGUUCUAAAAAUCAAAUGAAAUUAAUGCAAGGUUUUUCUGAGAAUAUGAAAAAAUUUUAAAAAAUAAAAAUAGGUCUAAACGAUUAAAUUUUGGAUUUUGAGGGGCAGAGUCCCAUAAGAAGUUUCUUAAAAUGACAAUCCAUAUGUUAAAAGCAUAUUUAAAAUUUGUGCUGAUACAAAAGUUCUAAAAAUCAAAUGAAAUUAAUGCAAGGUUUUUCUGAGAAUAUGAAAAAAUUUUAAAAAAUAAAAAUAGGUCUAAACGAUUAAAUUUUGGAUUUUGAGGGGCAGAGUCCCAUAAGAAGUUUCUUAAAAUGACCAUCCAUAUGUUACAAGCAUAUUUAAAAUUUGUGUUGAUACAAUUUGGAUUAUAUAAUUUGAACUGUAUUUUUUUUCCUUGAAUAAGGGUGUUUAUGGGGUAUUCAGAUUUUAUAAUCCGAAAAUAGCAAUGAACGCACCCUAUUUUUUAGGGAAUUAUAAAAAGUAAAUCGGUGUAAAACUAAUUUUUUUCACACCCCAUAACAAAGAAAAAACUUUGGAUUUUAAAAUUCGAAAAUCACAUGAGCAUUUUUGAAAAAUUUGUAGGACGGAUGAAAACCUCAACGGAAAAAGUAAUAAUCUAAAUAAAAUACUUCUAACACAUGAGCAAAAUUGGAAAUAAAAAUAUCUACAAAAAAUUUUAAAAAAUGAGAGAGGUGAGAAAAAAAGCAGCCAACCAUCGUAAUAGGAUGUCCUUCCAUCCUUUUUUAAAUCUAUAAAACAAUGUUUGGAAGAUAUAUUCCGAAGAAGUUGAAACACGAUAAAAAAAUGAUGGUUCAAUAUUUUGGAUCAUUGUUAUUCUGUAACGCUUGACGAUUAUGAAUUUUGUCGUUCGCAACCGUCAACCAACGAAUAUAAACGUAGAAAUUUCGGCAGCAUACACUUCCAUAUAUUCAAAGACUUUAUACAAUCUCUUAAGGUUGUUCAAAAAUAAAAUAAAAAACUCUUAAGGUACAAUUUAUUAUAUCUCUUAAUCUCGUCUCUUAUCAAAAUACUAACUUAAGUGUUAGAGUGUCAGCACAUGCAACACCUUCUUCCAUUCCAAGUUUUCACGAAGAAUACAUUUUACUGUAUCGAACGUUGUUCUACUAAUUAAGAUAUAUUACAUUUUUUUGUUGUUAAAUAAUCUAAUAAAUAAAGUUCACACAUUUAAAAUAUGAAGAAGUGUGGUAUCCAAAUUUCGAAUUUUGGAACAAAGAUAGAUCAUGUUCUAUGGCAUAUUCUUGUGACUAAUUUCCUAAAAUCCUAUAUUGUCCGUCCAUGCAUGUAGCACCUUGCAUUUCAUUUCAUGCACAAAACCGAGAUACACUCCCGCCAUCCAUCCAAGCCUGCAACAUCUUCUUCACCCCUCACGCAAGAAAGAAGACACUCAAGUCAAUCAACGACCUUCUUCUCUUCUCUUUUUCAAUCACAAUACUAAUUCCACAACUAUGAUAUCAUUAUUCUCAUCACAUUGCAAUAUUAAUCACAAAAACUAAAUUAAACAAAACAAUGCUUCGAAUCUGUUUUAGAAGAACACGACCCCUUCUUCGUUUCCCUAAUCCCUACAAAUACUACAUUUCUUCUUCAUCAUCUUCCAAUUCACAUUCACCGGAGAAAAUUUCACAAAAUCCCCAAAUUACCCCUCCAACCGUUCCUAACAAACUCUCUCCUGUAACCCCUUCCUCAUUCCUCUCCAAAACCUCCAUCGUCGCUCUCUCCACCGCCGUUGUCGCCUCCGUCGCAUUCCUCUCCUACGAUUACGGCCGCGAAACUCAAUCACAAUCCGAUCAAUCCAAAUCCCCUAAUCCUCUCUACACCACCGCCGAACACGCCGCACAUCGUUCCGCCGAAUCCAUCAACCGAAUCUUCCACCACGUAAAACGAACAAGCCUCGCCGCCACUGUUUUAUGGCAGUCGCUAAGGUCGGUGUUAUCUUCCGCGAACCACGAGGUUCGGUCUGGAUUCGAGAUUCGCGUGGCGGCGUUGCUGGCAGAUAUUUCUGCGGCGAAUUCGAGCCGGAGAGCGGCGAUUGUGGGUGCUGGUGGCGGUGCGGUUGUGGAUUGGUUGCUUGAUUCUGUUGCGGUUGUGAAGGAUGCUGGUGGUGGUACUCAGGCGGAGGCGGCGAGAGCAUUGGCGUAUUUGAUUUCGGAUCCUGAUGUUUCUGCUGCUGUGUUUGCGCGGCCUCACGCUGUUCCGAAUCUUCUGAGGUUUAUCUUCUCUUGCAAACCGCGGCGUUCGAAGAAUAAAACGGUACUUGAUUCUUUCUCAGUUGUAAUAAUCGAUUUUAUUAAGCUUGAAUUAGACCUAGUUUGAGUUUUAGAUGUUGUAGUUUUUAAUUUAAGAGUAAUGCAUUUCAUAAUCUAGUUGGACCUUGUUUUGGAAAAACACUUAUUUGCAGCUUAUAGCACAAGCGCUUACGGAUAAGCUAUUUCGAUAGAAAAAGAAAAAGUGAAGUUAGAUUGUUUUUGUAUACACUUAUACACUAUAAGCUGUUUUCAUAAGCUAUCUGGGAGAAUUUAUGGAAAUAAGCUGAAAACAAUUUAUGAACAAUAUCAUAAGCUGUUUUCAUAGUUCUCCCAAACAAUCUCACAAAAUUUAUGCCGGUAGAUAAACUCAAAUAAGUCAAUUUAAACAAUUUCAUAAAUGAAUGCAAGGUUUACUCUUGUGAUGCUGUAGGUUGUGUCUUUUUUCUUUCUCUCUGGUGUGAGCAUUGGUAACAUCAUGAAAUUUUUUAUGGCAGAAGAAUUCGAGACGUAGUGCAUUUGACCUUUCUGAUUCUUUGAAAGGUAGGAGCAUGCUUGUGGCUGCUAUAAUGGACAUUGUUACAUCCAGCUGUGACAAUGCAGAGAAGGUAUCUUUUAGGCCGUCUUUGCCUGGAAAUGCUGAAACCAGAGAUAUUGCUGCUGCCCUGCAAGUUAUUGAGGAAGGGGGUUUGCAUUUGGACGAGCCUCCAGAGGAUGAUGAUGAUGGUGGUGGGACAGGAAGGAAAGGGAUUGGAAUCAAGAUACUUGGAGGUACCUCUGUUUUAGGACUUUCAAGGACCCGUGAUGAAAUGGAGUUUGAUAAUACUGAUUUUGAUCAUGAAGAAGAACCGUUGAAGCACAGGACACCAACAACCCUCGUGUACCAUAAGUUUGAUGAUUCGCUGGUAAAACAAAAUAUGUCCUCUGUUGUCGUACCUGGUCUCUGGGAUGAUUUACACUGUGAACAAGUUGCUGUUCCUUUUGCCACCUGGGCAUUGGCAAAUUGGGCAACCACAUCAAAGUUGAAUAGAUCUCGUAUUCAGGAACUAGAUCAGGAUGGAAAUGCUGUCUUGUCUGCUCUAAUGGCACCUGAGAGAUCUGUAAAAUGGCAUGCGAGUUUGGUGGUGCGGUUGCUUUUAGAAGACCGUGAUACACCUUUGAAUGAAUCUGUUUCUGAUUGGAGUUCCAAUCUUCUUUCUACUAUAUUGCAUGCAUGUAAGCAUGAAGAUGUUUCGUUGGCUCGGGUAGCUUUUUCUGCCUUUCUUUUAUCUGUUGAGAGGAGUCCUGGGGUACAGAAGACUGUGAUGGAGAAGGGUCUUAAUUCGAUGAGAGACAUUGCUAAGACAACAAAGCAUAUGCAGGUGCAAGAAGCAAUAGCAAAGACAUUAGAACUACUCUGUACAGGAGAUCGUCAUUUAUCUCUUGAAGAGAGUCAGAAGUGGUCGGGUAUUCUCAUUCCCUGGGUUUUUGGAACAUUUUCUUCUGAUAUUAUACGAAGUUCAGCCAUAAAAAUACUGUCUCAGAUCCUUGAAGACUAUGGAGCAACAUCUGUACCACUUUCCCAAGGAUGGUUGGUCAUGCUGUUAAAUGAAGUACAAGAUUCCAUCAAGAAAUCAAUUGAUAAAGGAGUCAGUCAACCAAAAAGUGAUAAAGUGAAGGUAUAAAAAUAAUUUUCUCUCUUGCUAUUAAAAAAAUGGCAUACUAUAGUUAUCUGAUUGUGCUACUUCAAUUCCAAGUCAACUUUUGAUUUAUGUUUUCGCUGUCUUGACUUUUGCAGACUUUAAUCAAUAAUGCAAAUAUUGCUUCUGCUGCACAAGUUGCAAAGCAGCUUUCAAGUGCUGUUGUUAAUCUGGCAGCUAAACAAUUGAGAACUGUGUCUACUUCUGAGGAUAUAUCCCCACUUGUAGAUUUUCUUUCCCUGGAACCUUUAGCAGGGCCGUUUAAAAUUUUAAAAAAGGAUAGUCUGCCUAAAUUCGGUGCUGCAGAUUCUGCCUUGGCAACCCUUAAAGGUAUCAAGGCUCUGACUGAAGUAUGUGCAGAAGACUCCGAGUCUCAGGACAAGAUUGUUGAUUUUGGCAUUUUAUGUUUGCUGAGGCGCUUUUUGUUGAAUGACGAUUAUGAGAGACUGGCUGCUAUCGAAGCUUAUGAUGCAUCAUCAAGAGCGCACGACGGGCAGGAAAGGAAAUCAAGUGAAGGUGAGGAACCACCUAGAUCAGAUAUAAAUGAUCCAGCUAGUGUCCGAGUUCCCCCAACAGCUCAUAUCCGUAGGCAUGCAGCUCGGUUGUUGACCAUCCUCUCACUGCUUCCCAGAGUCAAGAAGAUAAUUAUAGCUGAUAAAACUUGGUGCAGUUGGCUUGAUGAUUGUGCUAAUGGUAAGAUUCCGGGUUGCAGUGACCUUAAGUUGCAAAGUUAUGCUAGGGCAGCACUUUUAAAUAUAUUUUGCAAUGACCGGAUUAAUGGAACGUCUGACAGUGCCGGUUCUUCUGGUGGUACCGGCCCUUCUGGUGGUGGUGUAAACAAUUAUAAUUUGUGUCCUCGUUAUGAUGACAUGAUAUUUUUGAUAAAUUCUCAUCUUCCUCACUGGAAGUGUUCCAAUGAAACAUAUCGGCAAGGAUCCUUCUCGGAAGACAUAUAUGUAGUCACCUCUGCUGUUGUUGAGGAUGGGACCAAAUCCUUGAAUGAUGGGACCUGCUCUAGUGGUUCAAGUGAUUCAACUAAAAGCAGCCUAGAUGCAGACUGUCCUCCACUAGAUGUGGUUUUUGUCCACGGCCUCCGUGGCGGCCCUUACAAAACUUGGCGUAUAUCUGAAGACAAAUCCUCAACUAUGUCUACCUUGGUAGAGAAGGUUGACGAGGAAGCUGGAAAGCUCGGAACCUUUUGGCCUGGUGAAUGGCUUUCCAGUGAUUUUCCCAACGCUCGCUUGUUUACCCUCAGAUAUAAGGUUUGACUUCAUAAGAUUUUGAUCUGUCUGCCUUAGAAAGAUUAGUCUCGCUUAUAAAUUCUGUAGGCUUUUUUACUGUUCAUUCUACUUCUAACAGAUUAUUUAGAGCUUGCCCCAUGCAUGAUCCCCUUACCUAACUCUUGAUGCUCUUUAUACAGACUAAUCUCACACAGUGGUCUGGAGCUAGCCUGCCUCUUCAGGUUAAACUUUUUUCACUUCUUUAUCUGUCAUUACUCAAUCAAUAGUUUAAUAAACAGAUUCGCAUUUUAAUUCUGCACCAUUAACUUGAUUUUUAAGUUAUUUGCCAAUCCUUCGCCGUAUAUGAUCUGAGAUGGGGUUUUCAUCCUCCACGAGCCUUGUUAAGGGUUGUAAAAAACUAUCAUUAUCAUUGUGGAUUUUGAACACAGGCUUCAAAGUUAUAAUUUCAGCAUCUGUUCCUAUUGUCCAAUACUGGUAGCACUAUUACAUGAUCAUGUAGUCAAUGUUAACAUCAUUACAAAACACACGGUUCUGUACUAAUUACCAAGUGCAUUUGUGGUUCUCAAAUAUAUUUUUUAUCUUACUUUUAUCCCAUACUUAAAUUCUUAUUGAAGUGAGCCUGACUUUUGUGGAUGAAGAUUUAAAUAGUGUUAACUGCGAUUUGAAUUGAUGGGCUGUGAACAAAUAUGUUUUUACUUUUUACUACAUCAUUUAGUUUCUGCGUAAUUUAUUUGAUUUUGUUCAUGUUCCAGUUUGCAAACUACUGACAUAUAUGACAGCACUGAAAAUGCUUCAUAAUUUUCCACUACCCUAAUCAAGUUUAUCUUUUUACUCAUGAUCGAAGGAUAUAUCGUUCUCUUCAUUUCCUUUCUCAUGGAAAUGUUAGGCCAUUAGAACCUGUGCGGCAUAACCUCUCUAAAAGGGGGCCUGUUGCACAAGGCUUCCACUAGGUGGAGUCUAAAGCGGAGAUGCUGUUUUUUGGAUUUGAACCUGUGACAUCCAUCACAAGGCAAGGCAGCAAUCUUGCCUCUACUUUCCAGUUACAUUCUAGUUCACAUACAUGUUUAUUUGAAACUUGCAGGAAGUUAGCUCUAUGCUACUGGAGAAACUUGUUGCUGCAGGAAUUGGGAAUCGACCUGUUGUUUUUGUUACUCAUAGGUUAGUGUGGCAGUUGGACUAAAACACAACUAGUUGUUCUGAUGUUUUUUAAUUGCAGUUUCUUAACAUUUUGGAUACCUAGUUAUCUGUUUUAUCAAGUUGAGCCUCACUUUAUUUGCAUUUUCCUCGUGGUUCUCUUUCGUCUGCAGCUUGGGGGGUUUGGUCGUGAAGCAGAUUCUUCACACAGCAAAGGAGGAAAAAUAUGAUAAUCUUGUGAAUAACACAAGAGGAAUUGUAAGUAUCAACCAACUCCUUAAUUAAAUAUAUGUUUAGAAAAUCGUACGCUCUUUUUUUAUGCUUUAUUUUUUGUUGCAGGUAUUUUAUAGCUGUCCACAUUUUGGCAGCAAACUUGCGGAUAUGCCUUGGCGAAUGGGCCUUGUACUUCGUCCUGCUCCGACGGUGAGCAUUUAAAGUUGAUGUCCCCAUUCAACAAUAGAUGUUAAUUAAUGUACUAUUAUAAUAAAUUGCUUCAUGUAGAAGAAUUUUUAGCACUUGGUUCUUAAUGUGAUAUAGAUAGGAGAGCUAAGAAGUGGGUCUUCAAGAUUGGUUGAGCUUAAUGAGUAUAUUCGUCUACUCUAUAAGAAAAGUGUUCUUGAUGUCCUAAGUUUUUGUGAGGUAAUCAGCAGUUCAGUUUUUUUUUUUUGUUAUUAUCAUGCUAGUGUCUUUUUUUGAGUUUGAGUUGUCACCGUUUUUCUGCAGACCAAGGUAACUCCAAUAGUGGAAGGUUAUGGUGGAUGGGCCUUUCGAAUGGAAAUUGUACCAAUUGAGUCAGCAUAUCCUGGAUUUGGGGAACUAGUUGUAAGUAUAUUUGUGAAACUAUAUCUAAUGUGACAGGAAAAAUAAACUAUAUGAAAAAUAGAACAUUUUUUUUUGAGUAAGCUAUAACUCAAGUGAUCCCCUCCUGAACUCCCAGCUGCAAAGGCGCCCCCCCGGCGCUAAUGUUCAAGAAUAAAUUUCCUUUUUCCUUUUCAAAAAAAUAGAGUGCAGUAACUAAUGAUACUGCCGCUUUAGUUUAAUGACUUAAGGUCAUCGCUUUUAUUUUCAUGAUGAUUUUGAUUGGGUUAACUGUGCCUUUUCUCAUCUUAAUAAUCUGCUUGAAAGAUAGUUUGAUUGCACUGUUCAAUUUCCAUUUUAUUGACUUGUAUGUGGCCUGUUUGUUAUAUGUGUGCUAUUCGUUCCUUCAUUUCUGUUUUGUACACCAUUGGUACGCCGUCAACUAGAAGCCUGCAUUAUGUGCAAAAGUUAUUUACAGUUAUCAGAAAAAGUAUCCGUGAGUACCGAGUGCAUCAUUUUAUAGUGAUUUAGUCGAUGGUCCUAUGAAAGGUGCUGUAAUAACAUUUUAUCUGCAUGUCCUUUUAAAUGUGCAAGCUUUAAGCCUGCAUACUACAGUAUGAUUUUUCCAAUUAACUCUUAUUAUUCCAGUAGUCCUUGGAAACUGAAACUUUUUUUGGGGUGGGGUAGAGGGGGUUGUUCUAGC
rnacentral:lncRNA from 1 species